rnacentral:misc_RNA from 1 species
UGCAUGUCACAGCAGCAAUAUACUGCAGCUUAGGCCAGUACAGUGAGGCAAUACCUCUAUUGGAGCAUUCCAUCGAGAUUCCUGCCAUCAAGGAAGGGCAUGAGCAUGCACUGGCCAAAUUUGCAGGGCACAUGCAAUUGGGUGAUACCUAUGCAAUGCUGGGCCAGCUGGAAAAUUCUCUAGUCUGUUAUACAACUGGGUUAGAGGUGCAGAAACAAGUCCUAGGAGAAGCAGACCCCAGA